rnacentral:lncRNA from 1 species
CAGAUAAACUUUGAGGCAGGAAAACUGACCUCCACCUUCUUUUGUGGAGAUUGAAGCUGCAUUCACAAGAACAGAGAACUUCAACCUCAGCUGAUUCGAAUUUAUCGAGGAAGAAUUCUAAACCGCUGGUGUUUGGAAGUGGCGUGCAGCCCCAUAUGGAUGGCCAGUGUGCACUUCUCAUUCUCCAGGAUAAUUUGGCAAACGACAACAAAUCAUUUAAAAUUAGGAAGAUGCCGAAAAUUGUAGCCUCUAAUACAUACUUGACAAGAGUAAUGUUGAAACAGCAGAGUGGCGGAGCGGACUGUCGAGACAGCA